rnacentral:rRNA from 1 species
GACGAACGCUGGCGGCGUGCUUAACACAUGCAAGUCGAGCGAUGAAGCACCUUCGGGUGUGAAUUAGCGGCGAACGGGUGAGGAACACGUGAAGAAUCUGCCUUCAACUCUGGGAUAACUCCGGGAAACCGGGGCCAAUACCGGAUAUGAGCCUUGAUCGCAUGAUCGGGGCUGGAAAGUUUUUCGGUUGAAGAUGACUUCGCGGCCUAUCAGCUUGUUGGUGAGGUAAUGGCUCACCAAGGCGACGACGGGUAGCCGGCCUGAGAGGGCGACCGGCCACACUGGGACUGAGACACGGCCCAGACUCCUACGGGAGGCAGCAGUGGGGAAUAUUGGGCAAUGGAGGAAACUCUGACCCAGCGACGCCGCGUGAGGGAUGAAGGCCUUCGGGUUGUAAACCUCUUUCAGUUGGGAAGAAGCGAAAGUGACGGUACCUACAGAAGAAGCACCGGCUAACUAUGUGCCAGCCGCCGCGGUAA